UUUUUUAAAAAUGUACUUAAAAAAAUUGUUUUAUCUUUUCCCCUGCAUCAUGUUGUAUCUAAUUAUUAGUAGGAUUGGUGAUCAUGUUGCUUUUCCCCCCAAAUUUUAUUUACUUUCAACAAAAUCAGAACAUAGGUUUAAUUUUGGAAACCUCCACCAAAACCCAAAAACUAAACACCCAACCUGUUUGCAGUACACAGUCAAACUGGAGAAAAGUUUUAAAAUGUUGAAUCAGUUAUGAGUAACUGAAUUAUUCACACUUUCCACUUCUUUAAUGAGAAUUCCGUAUGGACGGAUUGAACUCUCCACGAUCUCCUUCUCCUGCUCCGCUGUGCUGCCCACAGGAACGGGGAUGAGCCAGUAAUCAGUUUUAACUCGCCUUCGAUGCUCGUGCCGUGGAAGGAAACGGGCCACUCACCGGCUGCAGAGUGACUCCUCCAUCCUUUAGGACCAAGCCAUGCGUUUCCAUCCGGGUAUUUAUUCCGCACCCUCAGAGCGAAGCGGUACCACCCGACCGGCCGCUUGUACGGCUCACCUCCGCGAGAGCACGCUGAGGAAUCUGUCAACUUUCAGAAAUCAUAAUCAAAAUGUGGAUCAAAAAACUCCUCCAUGUCCACGAAUAGCUCGUUCCGUAAUGCAGAGAUUUCACUCUCGCUGAUUUUUAAACUGUUCAAUAACUCAUUCACAGUCAUCUCCCCAUCACCUUUCAAUGCCGUUGUUAAAGCAGCUGAAAGAAAAUUUUUAACUGUCAGUUUAUUGGCAACUUCCUGCGCUUUUCGGUCAGCAAGAGGUUUAACUGUAGCACCGGUGAGAGCGGAGAGAGCCUCCAACACGACUUCUCUGUCCAUUCCCGGCAUGAUGAACUCUUGAUUUGAGGCCUAACAGGUUCUGAAGAUCUGUGUUCACACUGAUAGAGUCUACAGCUCUGUGCUCAGAUAUUUAUACGAAUGGAAGUGUCUUACAGCGUGCCAGAAACAUUUCUGAAAUGGGAAUAUCACAUGAGAUGUGAAUACCAGCAGAUAACAUGUCUUGAUUCAUACCUGUAUCUUAUUACUGCCAAUCAGACAGACACAGAGAAAGAGAGAGAGAGAGAGAGAGAGAGAGAGAGAGAGAGAGAGAGAGAGAGCAUGUGAUGUACUGUAGCUGGCAGAGCUUGCCAGACGUACGCACACACACACACGCACACUAAACUGAACACCAUCCUACUCCCAUUGCAAUAUUUGCACAUUUCUGUACUUCAGAUAAACUGACAGUUCAAUGAAGAAAUGGUAAUGAAUGAGUGUUAUGUUGUGUGUAGAAGGUGGUGAUGGAACAGAUGGGUGUGACAGUUCUGCUAAAAUGAAAGGAGAAGGAAAAGGUCAGGAAUGUAGCUGUACCGGGUCAUGUUUACACAAACACAUAUUACAUUAAACUGCUCACACACUUCUUACACACUUCUGAAGGUCCUGGUGAGAUUUACUAUACAGGGUCGAACACUUGUGGACUAAAUUAAUUCACUGAUGGAGUUCAUCAGACCAGAGACCCACUACAGGACAAGAGGCAUUCUCUCAGAAAGGAGAGAAUUUUCUCAGACUUUCAUAAACUUUUUAUUUUAGUAAUUAGUGAACUGAUAAUUAGUGAAAAGACUGAAGGAAACCAUUAGUGAUAUAACAGUGGGCAGUGUGGAGCUGUAAUCUACAUGACUGUUUAAACCCAUUUACCUUCAUUCUGGUAUCAGCUUUUAACUCAUGUCUGUUUGCAGUGAGAUUUUUUAUAAUAUUUUAUAACACAUGAAGUGAGAUAAGACCUCAUGUAUUAUAAAAUACUGCUACUGACCUAUAAAGCACCGAACGGUCUCGUGCCACAGUAACUUAGUGAACUUUUGUUCUUUUGCGAUACACCAUGCCUACUUUGAUCAAAAGGUGCAGAAUAUUUGUUGGUACCUCAAAUAGUAAAGUCUACUGUAGGGGGAAGAACUUUCUCUUACAAAGACAGUUAUGGAACAGCCUUCCAAUUAGUGGGGAUUCAGACACGGUCUCAGUUUUUAAUUACAGGCUAAAAACAGCCCCCACCCUUUCACACCUUCACCCAGGUUUGUUGAUGGAGAGGUACUCAUGAGAUGCCAGUGAUCCUGACCCCUUCUGCUCUCCAGAACUGCCUGAUCCAUCCUCAUGCCCUACUUCUGGUUCAGUUCUCAUCAAUUGGAAGUUACAUGCUGCUGCUGAGGAUGGCCUCACAUGGUGCAGCCUAAAGUUCGUGGAGUUUACUGAGGAUGGUACCACUUAAAAACCAUAAGAUGGCUUUGGACCUCAAUUCAUUUGAACAGUUAUGCUAUGAUAGCUUUAGGACUUUAAUUGCCACAAACAGUUCUGCACUCAAGUCUCCAUCAGUGAACAGUGGAGAAGUUCAACAAAACAGACUUCAUGUAAAAACUGUAAUGAAUUUUCCUGGUUACAAAACUGGACUAUUUGACCAUGAAGUAUUAGCACAUUUAUAGAAGGAAUUAAUUUAUAUUCACACUACCUGGUGUCACCCAGAUGAGGAGUCUGGUUCCUCUCCAGGUUUCUUAGUCAUAUCGUCUCAGGGAGUUUUUCCUCACCACCUUCAGCUCUGGCUUGCUCAUUAGGAAUGAAUACAUUUAAAAAUCUAUAUCCUGAAUUUAUAUUUUUCUGUAAAGCUGUUUUGGGACAAUGUCCAUUGUUAAAAGUGC
ensembl:lncRNA